GGAUGGGUGACAGAGCGGUCGAUUGUGCACGCCUGGAAAGCGUGUGUGCCGCAAGGCACCAGGGGUUCGAAUCCCCUCCCAUCCGCCC
rnacentral:tRNA from 1 species